UCGCCCGCACCCAGCCUGGUCUCGGCCCCAGCAAGAGCCAGGUGGAUGCGGACGAGC
rnacentral:precursor_RNA from 1 species